CACACAGUCGUUCUUUGGCGUUGGCUGAGUCUCACUCUCACGUGGUGGCCCGAACGUGAGGUGCACUCAAAUCAUACCUCAGGAGAUACUUCACCCAACAUCUCCCCCUAGAGGUAAGUAUAUAAUUGGGUUACCAUGCCCCUCUCAUAGGCAGUCCACGGAAACCCCCACCACUGCAGUGACCGUUUAAUAUACCACCAGACCCAUAAAAUUUUCAGUAGCAUAAUAUGGCGAAUAAAAUUUAAUCCAGUCUACCGAGACCAAUCCAAAACUGUUCAUAUAUUUCAUGCCAACCCCAAAAAUUUAGCCAUCAUGCUACCAUAGUGUCAUAAGCCCCAAUUUCAAUAACAUAUAAAAUCAUAAAUUUCAACACAGUCUCCAUAUACUCAAUUUUCCCAAAACAAUAUUUGAUUUCAAAACCAAUAUAAAUAUCAUUUUUAUUAAAAAAAUAUUUUAAUU
rnacentral:lncRNA from 1 species